rnacentral:rRNA from 1 species
AUUGAACGCUGGCGGCAGGCCUAACACAUGCAAGUCGAACGAGUGGCGGACGGGUGAGUAAUGUCUGGGAAACUGCCUGAUGGAGGGGGAUAACUACUGGAAACGGUAGCUAAUACCGCAUACCAUCGGAUGUGCCCAGAUGGGAUUAGCUAGUUGGUGGGGUAACGGCUCACCAAGGCGACGAUCCCUAGCUGGUCUGAGAGGUGGACCAGCCACACGGGAACUGAGACACGGUCCAGACUCCUACGGGAGGCAGCAGUGGGGAAUAUUGCACAAUGGGCGAAAGCCUGAUACAGCCAUGCCGCGUGUAUGAAGAAGGCCUUCGGGUUGUAAAGUACUGUCAGCGGGGAGGCGUUACCCGCAGAAGAAGCACCGGCUAACUCCGUGCCAGCAGCCGCGGUAAUUC